rnacentral:rRNA from 1 species
UUAAGCGACUAAGCGUACACGGUGGAUGCCCUGGCAGUCAGAGGCGAUGAAGGACGUGCUAAUCUGCGAUAAGCGUCGGUAAGGUGAUAUGAACCGUUAUAACCGGCGAUUUCCGAAUGGGGAAACCCAGUGUGAUUCGACACACUAUCAUUAACUGAAUCCAUAGGUUAAUGAGGCGAACCGGGGGAACUGAAACAUCUAAGUACCCCGAGGAAAAGAAAUCAACCGAGAUUCCCCCAGUAGCGGCGAGCGAACGGGGAGCAGCCCAGAGCCUGAAUCAGUAUGUGUGUUAGUGGAAGCGUCUGGAAAGGCGCGCGAUACAGGGUGACAGCCCCGUACACAAAAAUGCACAUGCUGUGAGCUCGAUGAGUAGGGCGGGACACGUGGUAUCCUGUCUGAAUAUGGGGGGACCAUCCUCCAAGGCUAAAUACUCCUGACUGACCGAUAGUGAACCAGUACCGUGAGGGAAAGGCGAAAAGAACCCCGGCGAGGGGAGUGAAAAAGAACCUGAAACCGUGUACGUACAAGCAGUGGGAGCACGCUUAGGCGUGUGACUGCGUACCUUUUGUAUAAUGGGUCAGCGACUUAUAUUCUGUAGCAAGGUUAACCGAAUAGGGGAGCCGAAGGGAAACCGAGUCUUAACUGGGCGUUAAGUUGCAGGGUAUAGACCCGAAACCCGGUGAUCUAGCCAUGGGCAGGUUGAAGGUUGGGUAACACUAACUGGAGGACCGAACCGACUAAUGUUGAAAAAUUAGCGGAUGACUUGUGGCUGGGGGUGAAAGGCCAAUCAAACCGGGAGAUAGCUGGUUCUCCCCGAAAGCUAUUUAGGUAGCGCCUCGUGAAUUCAUCUCCGGGGGUAGAGCACUGUUUCGGCAAGGGGGUCAUCCCGACUUACCAACCCGAUGCAAACUGCGAAUACCGGAGAAUGUUAUCACGGGAGACACACGGCGGGUGCUAACGUCCGUCGUGAAGAGGGAAACAACCCAGACCGCCAGCUAAGGUCCCAAAGUCAUGGUUAAGUGGGAAACGAUGUGGGAAGGCCCAGACAGCCAGGAUGUUGGCUUAGAAGCAGCCAUCAUUUAAAGAAAGCGUAAUAGCUCACUGGUCGAGUCGGCCUGCGCGGAAGAUGUAACGGGGCUAAACCAUGCACCGAAGCUGCGGCAGCGACGCUGAUGCGUUGUUGGGUAGGGGAGCGUUCUGUAAGCCUGCGAAGGUGUGCUGUGAGGCAUGCUGGAGGUAUCAGAAGUGCGAAUGCUGACAUAAGUAACGAUAAAGCGGGUGAAAAGCCCGCUCGCCGGAAGACCAAGGGUUCCUGUCCAACGUUAAUCGGGGCAGGGUGAGUCGACCCCUAAGGCGAGGCCGAAAGGCGUAGUCGAUGGGAAACAGGUUAAUAUUCCUGUACUUGGUGUUACUGCGAAGGGGGGACGGAGAAGGCUAUGUUGGCCGGGCGACGGUUGUCCCGGUUUAAGCGUGUAGGCUGGUUUUCCAGGCAAAUCCGGAAAAUCAAGGCUGAGGCGUGAUGACGAGGCACUACGGUGCUGAAGCAACAAAUGCCCUGCUUCCAGGAAAAGCCUCUAAGCAUCAGGUAACAUCAAAUCGUACCCCAAACCGACACAGGUGGUCAGGUAGAGAAUACCAAGGCGCUUGAGAGAACUCGGGUGAAGGAACUAGGCAAAAUGGUGCCGUAACUUCGGGAGAAGGCACGCUGAUAUGUAGGUGAAGCGACUUGCUCGUGGAGCUGAAAUCAGUCGAAGAUACCAGCUGGCUGCAACUGUUUAUUAAAAACACAGCACUGUGCAAACACGAAAGUGGACGUAUACGGUGUGACGCCUGCCCGGUGCCGGAAGGUUAAUUGAUGGGGUCAGCGCAAGCGAAGCUCUUGAUCGAAGCCCCGGUAAACGGCGGCCGUAACUAUAACGGUCCUAAGGUAGCGAAAUUCCUUGUCGGGUAAGUUCCGACCUGCACGAAUGGCGUAAUGAUGGCCAGGCUGUCUCCACCCGAGACUCAGUGAAAUUGAACUCGCUGUGAAGAUGCAGUGUACCCGCGGCAAGACGGAAAGACCCCGUGAACCUUUACUAUAGCUUGACACUGAACAUUGAGCCUUGAUGUGUAGGAUAGGUGGGAGGCUUUGAAGUGUGGACGCCAGUCUGCAUGGAGCCGACCUUGAAAUACCACCCUUUAAUGUUUGAUGUUCUAACGUUGACCCGUGAUCCGGGUUGCGGACAGUGUCUGGUGGGUAGUUUGACUGGGGCGGUCUCCUCCUAAAGAGUAACGGAGGAGCACGAAGGUUGGCUAAUCCUGGUCGGACAUCAGGAGGUUAGUGCAAUGGCAUAAGCCAGCUUGACUGCGAGCGUGACGGCGCGAGCAGGUGCGAAAGCAGGUCAUAGUGAUCCGGUGGUUCUGAAUGGAAGGGCCAUCGCUCAACGGAUAAAAGGUACUCCGGGGAUAACAGGCUGAUACCGCCCAAGAGUUCAUAUCGACGGCGGUGUUUGGCACCUCGAUGUCGGCUCAUCACAUCCUGGGGCUGAAGUAGGUCCCAAGGGUAUGGCUGUUCGCCAUUUAAAGUGGUACGCGAGCUGGGUUUAGAACGUCGUGAGACAGUUCGGUCCCUAUCUGCCGUGGGCGCUGGAGAACUGAGGGGGGCUGCUCCUAGUACGAGAGGACCGGAGUGGACGCAUCACUGGUGUUCGGGUUGUCAUGCCAAUGGCACUGCCCGGUAGCUAAAUGCGGAAGAGAUAAGUGCUGAAAGCAUCUAAGCACGAAACUUGCCCCGAGAUGAGUUCUCCCUGACCCUUUAAGGGUCCUGAAGGAACGUUGAAGACGACGACGUUGAUAGGCCGGGUGUGUAAGCGCAGCGAUGCGUUGAGCUAACCGGUACUAAUGAACCGUGAGGCUUAACCUU